rnacentral:ncRNA from 1 species
UAUGAUGGUUUUUAAAUAACCUUUAUUUAAAAUUAAAAGGGAAAUCGGUGAGAAUCCGAUACAGUCACCUCUGCUGUAAAGUGGACGAGAGAGCAUAACCAUUGGAUAUAUUUUAUCCGAGAAGGGCUUUUUAGGAUGAAGCUAAGUCAGAAGACCUGCCAUCAUAUA